rnacentral:rRNA from 1 species
CUUGGUCAUUUAGAGGAAGUAAAAGUCGUAACAAGGUUUCCGUAGGUGAACCUGCGGAAGGAUCAUUAUCGAAAUUAUUGGUGAGGGUUGUAGCUGGCCUUUCGAGGCAUGUGCACGCUCGAGCCCUUAAUCCACUUUACACCUGUGCACUUAAUGUAGGUCGCCCUUAAAAAAGGUGACCUAUGUCUUAUCAUCAACCCAUCGUAUGUCUCAUAGAAUGUAAUCGAUAUCCUCGCCCUAAAAAAGCGUUGAUAAACUUAUACAACUUUCGACAACGGAUCUCUUGGCUCUCGCAUCGAUGAAGAACGCAGCGAAAUGCGAUAAGUAAUGUGAAUUGCAGAUUUUCAGUGAAUCAUCGAAUCUUUGAACGCACCUUGCGCUCCUUGGUAUUCCGAGGAGCAUGCCUGUUUGAGUGUCAUUAAAUUCUCAACUCCAAGGGUUUCACGACCUUUCGGAGAUUGGACUUGGAGGUGCUGGCCGCAUAUUGGUCGGCUCCUCUCAAAUGCAUCAGCGGAAUUCAACCUUUGGCUUCCGGAUGUCAGUGUGAUAAUCAUGUUGCGCUGUCGUUUGAUCCCUCAGAGUCCGCUUAUAAUGGUCUUCGGACAAAAUCAUCAUCAAAUUUGACCUCAAAUCAGGUAGGACUACCCGCUGAACUUAAGCAUAUCAAUAAGCGGAGGA